GGCAACCCACUCCAGUGUUCUUGCCUGGAGAAUCCCAGGGACGGCGGAGCCUGGUGGGCUGCUGCCGUCUCUGGGGUCACACAGAGUCGGACACAACUGAAGCGACUUAGUAGUAGUAGUGGUAGUAGAGCAAAGACAGCUCCCUCUGCUCUAGAAGGAGGCAAACUUACACACUAUGGAGAGAACCAUGCCUGGUGGGGACCAGCAUGCUGCCCUAGGAUGCAGACUCACCAUAGUGGCAAGGAACUGAACUCUGCCAGCCACCUGGAUGAACCUGGAAGAGGAACUGAACUCCAGUGCCUUCCUUCAGCCCAUCUUACCCCGUGUUAUCAGUUUCAGACCAGGAGGCUUUUUUAGAACCACUGGAUAU